CUGGCUCUGUGCCCUCAAACGAUGCACUUCUCAUGUGACCCCUGGCUUCCCCAGGUGCACUGAGAGCCUCCAGCUCCGGCCUAGCCAGGGAUGCUGUGUGGGCACAAGAGGUACCAGGUUCUCGGAGAUGGAACUGCACGUGCUCAGAGGAGCUUGCUGGGCCUUUGAAACUAGGCAGGGUUAGAACAUGAUCUACACGCUAGUGAGCUCUUAGCUCAGACUGCGCACCAUCAGAGGCUGAGGUCACGUGUGCUGGUGGCUGGAGAAGGACCCAGAUGGGGCCAUGUGGGAGACACCUGUGGACUGCCAAGGUCAUGGAGCGCAGGGGUCGCUGCCCAGCCCGCCCCAGGGUUGCGAUCCCUUCUGGGCCGUGGGACCUCUCCUGAGCCAGGACUGCUGAAGCAGCGGUCCCUGAGCGCACCUCACCCACAGCUCCGUGCCGUGCACACGGAGCCCCGGGACCACGCAGGAGGGGCGGCCGGAGGCUGCACGGUGCCUGCCCAGGAGUGGAAGGACCCAAGACCCAGGCCGCGUCUGUGGGACCCUCGGAGCCCGAGGGCGUGGCGGGCUACCCGAGCCUCUCGUGUUUCUUCUGACCCCUGGCCACGGCCUGCGCUUCUGUGGGGGGGCCUGGGGGUGCAUGCAUUCGCCUCUGGCUCUAAAGGCCCUGACCCGCAGGCCGUCCGCUUUGGGAGAGCCGGCUCAGGACACCAGGAGUGGGGCCUGGGGCUGUGUUGGUCAGGAGUUAUGUCCAAAGUCAAGAGGAGGCGGGAAUCCGAGGGAAAAACGAUUUUUUAAAACCCCGACAUGUUCAAAGUGUUAGUUCUUUGCCACCACAGACCGUACUCUGCUGCCAUCAAUCGCAAACCAUCACAGAAUCAAUGAAUGCAGAUCGAUUGCUCAACAUUGGCAAGGCUGCCUUGUCUCGAGGACCCCAAGCGGCCGCGAGCCCAGAAAUGCUGUGGUGCCUGCUUUGUGCCAGGCGCAUCCGGCGGCCGGGAGGUGACACGGCGGGGUGACAUGACGCUGCGCUGUUCCCUGUGUUAGCUCCACGCGAGGACACUCGCUUAGUUAGAAUUUUCCAUAUGACAUUCUCUCCUCUUUGGGUAGGAGUUGUCACAGGGGGUUGUAAAUAAUGACAAGGCUGAGAUGUUUUGUGUUUAAAUUGGGCACAAUGAUUUCCACUUCAUUCCCCCAACUUCCCUUCCUUUCUUAUGUUUGACACACACAGGCUAUUUAUACCUGUACCCAGCUCCGUCGGGGCCUGUGAGUCAGGGUUAUGGAUGGUGCUGGUAACGCCGAGUGCGCUAUGUUUAAGCUGCAGUGGCAGCUCAGUGUCUCACCGACCUGGCUGCUCUCAUUUAAAGCCUGUUACAGGCUGGCUUCGCCUCUGAGUGGUUGGUAAACUGGUAGCUUAGAGAAAAAAGUUUCCAAAAGGUGUUUUGCUUCUAAAAAUUGUAGAGAGAACAAAACUCCGAUUUCUGCGCUGAGGCUGAAGGUAUAAAACCGGGGGAUUCCAGGCAGUAUUUUGGGGAGCAACUUGACUCCCCUUGAUCCAGGCAGUGUCCAUCGUCCUGGCUGGGUUUCUGGGGCUGCUCAGCCUCGUCUCCGACCCCAUUCCCGGGAAGACCCGCUGCAGGAGCCCUUUCCCAGCCAUGCUUCUCACCCUGGAGCUGUCUUGCUUGUUUUUGUACUUUGCCUCCUUCCAGAAAGCUGUGAAGUGGCUCGUAGUAGCAGAUACAAACACAAAGAGACCAUGGGAAUGGAAGUAGGGAUUUCUGGCACACUGACUGCCUGA
ensembl:lncRNA